rnacentral:rRNA from 1 species
AUUGAACGCUGGCGGCAUGCCUUACACAUGCAAGUCGAACGGUAACAGGUCUUCGGAUGCUGACGAGUGGCGAACGGGUGAGUAAUAUAUCGGAACGUGCCCAGUCGUGGGGGAUAACGCAGCGAAAGCUGUGCUAAUACCGCAUACGAUCUAUGGAUGAAAGCGAGGGAUCGCAAGACCUCGCGCGAUUGGAGCGGCUGAUAUCAGAUUAGGUAGUUGGUGGGGUAAAGGCCCACCAAGCCAACGAUCUGUAGCUGGUCUGAGAGGACGACCAGCCACACUGGAACUGAGACACGGUCCAGACUCCUACGGGAGGCAGCAGUGGGGAAUUUUGGACAAUGGGCGCAAGCCUGAUCCAGCAAUGCCGCGUGCAGGAUGAAGGCCUUCGGGUUGUAAACUGCUUUUGUACGGAACGAAAAGGCUCUGGUUAAUACCUGGGGCUCAUGACGGUACCGUAAGAAUAAGCACCGGCUAACUACGUG